AGUUCAGCGGUAGAAUGUCUCCUUCCCAAGGAGAAGGUCGCCGGUUCGAGCCCGGUCUG
rnacentral:tRNA from 1 species